rnacentral:rRNA from 1 species
CUCUUUAUGAUUAUAAUUUUAAGUUGUCUCUGCCCUAUGAUAAAAUAUUAAAUGGCUGCAGUAUUUUGACUGUACAAAGGUAGCAUAAUAAAUUGUUUUUUAAAUGAAAACUUGAAUGAAUGAGGUGAUAAAAUAUAAACUUUAUUUAAAUAAUUUAUUGAAUUUUUCUUUUAAGUUAAAAGACUUAAAUUUAUUUAAGGGACGAGAAGACCCUAUAGAAUUUUAUAUAAUUUAAUUUAUAAUUUUUAAAUUGAAUUUAUAUUUUUUUGGGAGGAAAUUUAAAUUUUUAAACUUUAAUAAAUUUUUUACAUAUAUUAAUGGUUAAAUAUAAAUGAUUUUAAGUUAAUAAAUUUUAAAUUAAAUUACCUUAGGGAUAACAGCGUAAUANNUUUUGAAAGUUCUUAUAGAAAAAAAUGUUU